rnacentral:rRNA from 1 species
AGGGUUUGAUCAUGGCUCAGAACGUACGCUGGCGGCACGCCUUAUACAUGCAAGUCGAACGAAGUAGCAAUACUUAGUGGCAGACGGGUGAGUAACAUGUAGGUAUCUUCCCUUUGGUGAGGAAUAACACGAGGAAACUUGUGCUAAUACCUCAUAAGUCUUUACGGAGAAAGCUUUAUGCGCCAAAGGAUGAGCCUGCACUUGAUUAGUUUGUUGGUGGGGUAAUGGCCUACCAAGACUUUGAUCAAUAGCUGAUCUGAGAGGAUGAUCAGCCACAUUGGGACUGAGACACGGCCCAAACUCCUACGGGAGGCAGCAGUAGGGAAUAUUGCACAAUGGAGGAAACUCUGAUGCAGCGAUGCCGCGUGAGUGAAGAAGGCCCUUGGGUUGUAAAGCUCUUUCGUCGGGGAAGAAAAUGACUGUACCCGAAUAAGAAGGUCCGGCUAACUUCGUGCCAGCAGCCGCGGUAAUAC